rnacentral:rRNA from 1 species
GAGAGAACCACAGGGAUUACCUCAGUAACGGCGAGUGAAGCGGUAACAGCUCAAAUUUGAAAUCUGGCUCUUUCAGGGUCCGAGUUGUAAUUUGUAGAAGAUGUUUCGGGUGUGGCUCCGGUCUAAGUUCCUUGGAACAGGACGUCGUAGAGGGUGAGAAUCCCGUAUGUGACUGGCUGCCUCCGCCCAUGUGAAACUCUUUCGACNAGUCGAGUUGUUUGGGAAUGCAGCUCAAAAUGGGUGGUAAAUUUCAUCUAAAGCUAAAUAUUGGCCAGAGACCGAUAGCGCACAAGUAGAGUGAUCGAAAGAUGAAAAGCACUUUGGAAAGAGAGUUAAACAGUACGUGAAAUUGUUGAAAGGGAAGCGCUUGCAAUCAGACUUGCGCGCGGCCGAUCAUCCGGGGUUCCCCCCGGUGCACUCGGUCGCGUUCAGGCCAGCAUCGGUUUGGGUGGUGGGAUAAAGGCCUUGGGAAUGUANCUUCUUUCGGGGAGUGUUAUAGCCCUCGGUGCAAUGCCGCCUAUCCAGACCGAGGACCGCGCUUCGGCUAGGAUGCUGGCGUAAUGGUUGUAAGCGACCCGUCUUGAAACACGGACCAAGGAGUCUAACACUUAUGCGAGUAUUUGGGUGUCAAACCCAUAUGCGUAAUGAAAGUGAACGGAGGUGAGAACCCUUAAGGGUGCAUCAUCGACCGGUCCUGAUGUCUUCGGAUGGAUCUGAGUAA